rnacentral:rRNA from 2 species
AUGGUUAAGUUAGAAAGGGCGCACGGUGAAUGCCUUGGCACUAGGAGCCGAUGAAGGACGGGACUAACACCGAUAUGCUUCGGGGAGCUGUAAGUGAGCUUUGAUCCGGAGAUUUCCGAAUGGGGAAACCCACUGUUCGUAAUGGAACAGUAUCUUUAUCUGAAUACAUAGGAUAUUGAAGGCAGACCCGGGGAACUGAAACAUCUAAGUACCCGGAGGAAGAGAAAGCAAAUGCGAUUUCCUGAGUAGCGGCGAGCGAAACGGAAUUAGCCCAAACCAAGAGGCUUGCCUCUUGGGGUUGUAGGACACUCUAUACGGAGUUACAAAGGAACGAAGUAAAUGAAGCGACCUGGAAAGGUCCGUCGAAGAAGGUAACAACCCUGUAGUUGAAACUUCGUUCCCUCUUGAGUGGAUCCUGAGUACGGCGGAACACGUGAAAUUCCGUCGGAAGCUGGGAGGACCAUCUCCCAAGGCUAAAUACUACCUAGUGACCGAUAGUGAACCAGUACCGUGAGGGAAAGGUGAAAAGCACCCCGGAAGGGGAGUGAAAGAGAUCCUGAAACCGUGUGCCUACAAGUAGUCAGAGCCCGUUAACGGGUGAUGGCGUGCCUUUUGUAGAAUGAACCGGCGAGUUACGAUCCCAUGCAAGGUUAAGCUGAUAAGGCGGAGCCGUAGCGAAAGCGAGUCUGAAUAGGGCGUUUAGUAUGUGGUUGUAGACCCGAAACCAGGUGAUCUACCCAUGUCCAGGGUGAAGUUCAGGUAACACUGAAUGGAGGCCCGAACCCACGCACGUUGAAAAGUGCGGGGAUGAGGUGUGGGUAGCGGAGAAAUUCCAAUCGAACCUGGAGAUAGCUGGUUCUCUCCGAAAUAGCUUUAGGGCUAGCCUCAUGUUGUGAGAGUCUUGGAGGUAGAGCACUGAUUGGACUAGGGGCCCCCAACGGGUUACCGAAUUCAGUCAAACUCCGAAUGCCAAAGACUUAUCCAUGGGAGUCAGACUGCGAGUGAUAAGAUCCGUAGUCAAAAGGGAAACAGCCCAGACCACCAGCUAAGGUCCCCAAGUAUACGUUAAGUGGAAAAGGAUGUGGAGUUGCUUAGACAACCAGGAUGUUGGCUUAGAAGCAGCCACCAUUUAAAGAGUGCGUAAUAGCUCACUGGUCGAGUGACUCUGCGCCGAAAAUGUACCGGGGCUAAACGUAUCACCGAAGCUGUGGAUUGACAUCUUUGAUGUCAGUGGUAGGAGAGCGUUCUAAGUGCUGUGAAGUCAGACCGUAAGGACUGGUGGAGCGCUUAGAAGUGAGAAUGCCGGUAUGAGUAGCGAAAGACAAGUGAGAAUCUUGUCCACCGAAUGCCUAAGGUUUCCUGAGGAAGGCUCGUCCGCUCAGGGUUAGUCGGGACCUAAGCCGAGGCUGAAAAGCGUAGGCGAUGGCCAACAGGUUGAUAUUCCUGUACCACCUCCCCGCCGUUUGAGUAAUGGGGGGACGCAGUAGGAUAGGGUAAGCGCGCUGCUGGAUAUGCGCGUUCAAGCAGUUAGGCUGAUGAGUAGGCAAAUCCGCUCAUCAUAAAGGCUGAGCUGUGAUGACGAGGGAAUUAUAGUACCGAAGUUCCUGAUUCCACACUGCCAAGAAAAGCCUCUAGCGAGGCGGGAGGUGCCCGUACCGCAAACCGACACAGGUAGGCGAGGAGAGAAUCCUAAGGUGAUCGAGAGAACUCUCGUUAAGGAACUCGGCAAAAUGACCCCGUAACUUCGGGAGAAGGGGUGCUCUGGUAGGGUGUAUAGCCCGAGAGAGCCGCAGUGAAUAGGCCCAGGCGACUGUUUAGCAAAAACACAGGUCUCUGCGAAGCCGCAAGGCGAAGUAUAGGGGCUGACGCCUGCCCGGUGCUGGAAGGUUAAGAGGAGGGGUUAUCCUUUGGGAGAAGCUCUGAAUCGAAGCCCCAGUAAACGGCGGCCGUAACUAUAACGGUCCUAAGGUAGCGAAAUUCCUUGUCGGGUAAGUUCCGACCCGCACGAAAGGCGUAACGAUCUGGGCACUGUCUCAACGAGAGACUCGGUGAAAUUAUAGUACCUGUGAAGAUGCAGGUUACCCGCGACAGGACGGAAAGACCCCGUGGAGCUUUACUGUAGCCUGAUAUUGAAUUUUGGUACAGCUUGUACAGGAUAGGUAGGAGCCUGAGAAGCCGGAGCGCUAGCUUCGGUGGAGGCGUCGGUGGGAUACUACCCUGGCUGUAUUGAAAUUCUAACCCGCGGCCCUGAUCGGGCCGGGAGACAGUGUCAGGUGGGCAGUUUGACUGGGGCGGUCGCCUCCUAAAAUGUAACGGAGGCGCCCAAAGGUUCCCUCAGAAUGGUUGGAAAUCAUUCGUAGAGUGUAAAGGCACAAGGGAGCUUGACUGCGAGACCUACAAGUCGAGCAGGGACGAAAGUCGGGCUUAGUGAUCCGGUGGUUCCGCAUGGAAGGGCCAUCGCUCAACGGAUAAAAGCUACCCCGGGGAUAACAGGCUUAUCUCCCCCAAGAGUCCACAUCGACGGGAGGUUUGGCACCUCGAUGUCGGCUCAUCGCAUCCUGGGGCUGUAGUCGGUCCCAAGGGUUGGGCUGUUCGCCCAUUAAAGCGGUACGCGAGCUGGGUUCAGAACGUCGUGAGACAGUUCGGUCCCUAUCCGUCGUGGGCGUAGGAAAUUUGAGAGGAGCUGUCCUUAGUACGAGAGGACCGGGAUGGACACACCGCUGGUGUACCAGUUGUCUUGCCAAAGGCAUCGCUGGGUAGCUAUGUGUGGACGGGAUAAGUGCUGAAAGCAUCUAAGCAUGAAGCCCCCUCAAGAUGAGAUUUCCCAUAGCGCAAGCUAGUAAGAUCCCUGAAAGAUGAUCAGGUUGAUAGGUCAGAGGUGGAAGCGUGGCGACAUGUGUAGCUGACUGAUACUAAUCGAUCGAGGACUUAACCAAA